rnacentral:rRNA from 2 species
AGGGCGCACGGUGGAUGCCUUGACACUAGGAGUCGAUGAAGGACGGGACUAACGCCGAUAUGCUUCGGGGAGCUGUAAGUAAGCUUUGAUCCGAAGAUUUCCGAAUGGGGAAACCCACCAUACGUAAUGGUAUGGUAUCCUUAUCUGAAUACAUAGGGUAAGGAAGACAGACCCAGGGAACUGAAACAUCUAAGUACCUGGAGGAAGAGAAAGCAAAUGCGAUUUCCUGAGUAGCGGCGAGCGAAACGGAACAUAGCCCAAACCAAGAGGCUUGCCUCUUGGGGUUGUAGGACAUUCUAUACGGAGUUACAAAGGAACGAGGUAGACGAAGCGACCUGGAAAGGUCCGUCGUAGAGGGUAACAACCCCGUAGUCGAAACUUCGUUCUCUCUUGAAUGUAUCCUGAGUACGGCGGAACACGUGAAAUUCCGUCGGAAUCUGGGAGGACCAUCUCCCAAGGCUAAAUACUCCCUAGUGAUCGAUAGUGAACCAGUACCGUGAGGGAAAGGUGAAAAGCACCCCGGAAGGGGAGUGAAAGAGAUCCUGAAACCGUGUGCCUACAAAUAGUCAGAGCCCGUUAACGGGUGAUGGCGUGCCUUUUGUAGAAUGAACCGGCGAGUUACGAUCCCGUGCGAGGUUAAGCUGAAGAGGCGGAGCCGCAGCGAAAGCGAGUCUGAAUAGGGCGUUUAGUACGUGGUCGUAGACCCGAAACCAGGUGAUCUACCCAUGUCCAGGGUGAAGUUCAGGUAACACUGAAUGGAGGCCCGAACCCACGCACGUUGAAAAGUGCGGGGAUGAGGUGUGGGUAGCGGAGAAAUUCCAAUCGAACCUGGAGAUAGCUGGUUCUCCCCGAAAUAGCUUUAGGGCUAGCCUUAAGUGUAAGAGUCUUGGAGGUAGAGCACUGAUUGGACUAGGGGUCCUCAUCGGAUUACCGAAUUCAGUCAAACUCCGAAUGCCAAUGACUUAUCCUUAGGAGUCAGACUGCGAGUGAUAAGAUCCGUAGUCAAAAGGGAAACAGCCCAGACCGCCAGCUAAGGUCCCAAAGUGUGUAUUAAGUGGAAAAGGAUGUGGAGUUGCUUAGACAACUAGGAUGUUGGCUUAGAAGCAGCCACCAUUUAAAGAGUGCGUAAUAGCUCACUAGUCGAGUGACUCUGCGCCGAAAAUGUACCGGGGCUAAAUACACCACCGAAGCUGCGGAUUGAUACCGAAUGGUAUCAGUGGUAGGGGAGCGUUCUAAGGACAGUGAAGUCAGACCGUAAGGACUGGUGGAGUGCUUAGAAGUGAGAAUGCCGGUAUGAGUAGCGAAAGACGGGUGAGAAUCCCGUCCACCGAAUGCCUAAGGUUUCCUGAGGAAGGCUCGUCCGCUCAGGGUUAGUCAGGACCUAAGCCGAGGCCGACAGGCGUAGGCGAUGGACAACAGGUUGAUAUUCCUGUACCACCUCUUUAUCGUUUGAGCAAUGGAGGGACGCAGAAGGAUAGAAGAAGCGUGCGAUUGGUUGUGCACGUCCAAGCAGUUAGGCUGAUAAGUAGGCAAAUCCGCUUAUCAUAAAGGCUGAGCUGUGAUGGGGAAGCUCCUUAUGGAGCGAAGUCUUUGAUUCCCCGCUGCCAAGAAAAGCUUCUAGCGAGAUAAAAGGUGCCUGUACCGCAAACCGACACAGGUAGGCGAGGAGAGAAUCCUAAGGUGUGCGAGAGAACUCUGGUUAAGGAACUCGGCAAAAUGACCCCGUAACUUCGGGAGAAGGGGUGCUUUCUUAACGGAAAGCCGCAGUGAAUAGGCCCAAGCGACUGUUUAGCAAAAACACAGCUCUCUGCGAAGCCGUAAGGCGAAGUAUAGGGGGUGACACCUGCCCGGUGCUGGAAGGUUAAGGAGAGGGGUUAGCGUAAGCGAAGCUCUGAACUGAAGCCCCAGUAAACGGCGGCCGUAACUAUAACGGUCCUAAGGUAGCGAAAUUCCUUGUCGGGUAAGUUCCGACCCGCACGAAAGGUGUAACGAUUUGGGCACUGUCUCAACCAGAGACUCGGUGAAAUUAUAGUACCUGUGAAGAUGCAGGUUACCCGCGACAGGACGGAAAGACCCCGUGGAGCUUUACUGUAGCCUGAUAUUGAAUUUUGGUACAGUUUGUACAGGAUAGGCGGGAGCCAUUGAAACCGGAGCGCUAGCUUCGGUGGAGGCGCUGGUGGGAUACCGCCCUGACUGUAUUGAAAUUCUAACCUACGGGUCUUAUCGACCCGGGAGACAGUGUCAGGUGGGCAGUUUGACUGGGGCGGUCGCCUCCUAAAGUGUAACGGAGGCGCCCAAAGGUUCCCUCAGAAUGGUUGGAAAUCAUUCGUAGAGUGCAAAGGCAUAAGGGAGCUUGACUGCGAGACCUACAAGUCGAGCAGGGACGAAAGUCGGGCUUAGUGAUCCGGUGGUUCCGCAUGGAAGGGCCAUCGCUCAACGGAUAAAAGCUACCCCGGGGAUAACAGGCUUAUCUCCCCCAAGAGUCCACAUCGACGGGGAGGUUUGGCACCUCGAUGUCGGCUCAUCGCAUCCUGGGGCUGUAGUCGGUCCCAAGGGUUGGGCUGUUCGCCCAUUAAAGCGGUACGCGAGCUGGGUUCAGAACGUCGUGAGACAGUUCGGUCCCUAUCCGUCGUGGGCGUAGGAAAUUUGAGAGGAGCUGUCCUUAGUACGAGAGGACCGGGAUGGACGCACCGCUGGUGUACCAGUUGUUCUGCCAAGGGCAUAGCUGGGUAGCUAUGUGCGGAAGGGAUAAGUGCUGAAAGCAUCUAAGCAUGAAGCCCCCCUCAAGAUGAGAUUUCCCAUAGCGUAAGCUAGU